ensembl:ncRNA lncRNA:CR45333 long non-coding RNA:CR45333
UCAGUCAAGCGGCGUUGCUGUUACCGAGCACAACACACAUUAUCCUCGACUUUCGUUGGGAGCCCAGUGUCUUUCACUGAAAAUCGCGUGAAUUCGUCGUGAUUAACCGGCACAUUGCCUAUUUUUCCGCAAGUGGUGCUGAGUCGAUUGUCCAUAAUUGACAGUCCUGUCAGUCGAAAUCGAGUCAAAACGGGCCGAGGAGAGCAGAAAGGGCCAAUAAAGUGUGUGUUAAGUGCUUGACUUGUUGCCAUAGUUUUGGUGUGUUUAUUACAUAUAUAUAAAUAUAUUUAUAUAUU